ACGCAAGAACCUUCUGCACAGGAGCUCCUCUCAAUCCCUGCAACGCUUGUAUUAAAUAGGGUUAGCGGCUUCGCGAGCGAGCACGAGCGUAUCUCGACGCGCUCCUCUCGGAAGAGCUGAUACGCACUACAAGUUACUUUUUUUCUUGGGGAUCCCCUUGUCACACUAAGGCAUGCACAAAUUUAAAUGCGUCGCACCUUUUCCUUUGCUAACAGUAGGUGGCUAUAAAAAGAACCGCUCUGAUGACGGAGUACGCGCGCGCCCUCCAGCAGGUCUGAUCUGGAGGCGCGCUCGACCCGUCGCCGGCGCCCCGCUGCGUGAACCUGCUAAAGACGAAAUUAACUCCGCACUUCAAUUAUUAAAACAGCUCCGAGAAGACAUGGAGUGAGAGCAGCUGGCCCCGCACCUUCCUGUCGAGGCACUAUAAAACGAGUCAUCGGAGAGUGAUGUUUGCUAUUAGACCCAGAACUCCAGCAGGAGCAAGCUCUAUAAUGAUGUAAUAUCUGCCAUACACUUAAGUGAUUCUGUGUAUUGAGAGGAAAUGCUGUUAUUUGUUGGAAUCAUCAUGCCCAGUUUUCUAUCGUUUUAAUUUAUUAAACUGGGACACCCCAAUAUUUCAAAUCAACCUUUGGAAGUCUGUCCUGCAGUCACACUACAUAAUACAGUAUUAGCUCUACUUAACAUGUCUUUGAAAGUUAGUGUACUUGUAAAACAAAGCCUGAAGAAGUUGAAAUCGUUGGCUACAUUAAACUAGAAGAAAUACAAUCAAAGAGGAGUACAUUGACAAUGUUGAUGUCUUGUUUAACAAUACCACUUUGCUUCUAAACUUUCAAGGUACCCUUCACCACUGUGGUCACUGCUUAAUAAAUAAUUUAAAAUGUA